UUAGGAAUCUUGCGCAAUGGGGGAAACCCUGACGCAGCGACGCCGCGUGUGUGAUGACGUUUUUCGGAAUGUAAAGCACUGUCCUAUGGGGAAGAAGAAUGUGACGGUACCCAUAGAGAAAGCCCCGGCUAACUACGUGCCAGCAGCCGCGGUAAUACGUAGGGGGCGAGCGUUGUCCGAAUUUACUGGGCGUAAAGCGCGUGUAGGCGGCUUUUUAAGUGAGAUGUGAAAUCCUGCAGCUCAACUGCAGAACUGCAUUUCAAACUGGAAGGCUUGAGUGUGGGAGAGGAAAGUGGAAUUCCUGGUGUAGCGGUGAAAUGCGUAGAUAUCAGGAGGAACACCCGUGGCGAAGGCGGCUUUCUGGCCCACCACUGACGCUGAGACGCGAAAGCUAGGGGAGCGAACGGG
rnacentral:rRNA from 1 species